rnacentral:rRNA from 1 species
AGUCGAACGAAGUCUUCGGACUUAGUGGCGGACGGGUGAGUAACGCGUGGGAAUCUGCCUUCAGGAGGGGGAUAACAGAGGGAAACCUUUGCUAAUACCCCAUAUGCCUAUGGGUGAAAUGAAUUUCGCCUGAAGAUGAGCCCGCGUCUGAUUAGCUAGUUGGUGGGGUAAAGGCCUACCAAGGCGACGAUCAGUAGCUGGUCUGAGAGGAUGAUCAGCCACACUGGGACUGAGACACGGCCCAGACUCCUACGGGAGGCAGCAGUGGGGAAUUUUCCGCAAUGGGCGAAAGCCUGACGGAGCAACGCCGCGUGAGUGAUGAAGGCCCUUGGGUCGUAAAGCUCUUUUGUCAGGGACGAUAAUGACGGUACCUGAUGAAUAAGCAUCGGCUAACUCUGUGCCAGCAGCCGCGGUAAUACAGAGGAUGCAAGCGUUAUCCGGAAUUAUUGGGCAUAAAGCGUACGUAGGUGGCGAUUCAAGUCUGUGGUUGAAGCCUGCAGCUCAACUGCAGAAAGGCCAUGGAAACUGAAACGCUAGAGUGCGAUAGAGGUAAGGGGAAUUCCCGGUGUAGCGGUGAAAUGUGGAGAUAUCGGGAAGAACACCAGCGGCGAAAGCGCCUUACUGGGUCGCAACUGACACUGAGGUACGAAAGCCAGGGGAGCAAAUGGGAUUAGAUACCCCAGUAGUCCUGGCCGUAAACGAUGGACACUAGGUGUUGCGCGUAUCGACCCGUGCAGUGCCGUAGCUAACGCGUUAAGUGUCCCGCCUGGGGAGUACGCACGCAAGUGUGAAACUCAAAGGAAUUGACGGGGGCCCGCACAAGCGGUGGAGCAUGUGGUUUAAUUCGAUGCAACGCGAAGAACCUUACCAGGGCUUGACAUACCGUGAGUUCUGGGGAAACUCGGAAGUGCCUUCGGGAACAUGGAUACAGGUGCUGCAUGGCUGUCGUCAGCUCGUGUCGUGAGAUGUUGGGUUAAGUCCCGCAACGAGCGCAACCCUCGUUUUCAGUUGCCAUCAUUAAGUUGGGCACUCUGGAGAGACUGCCGGUGACAAACCGGAGGAAGGUGGGGAUGACGUCAAGUCAGCAUGGCUCUUACGUCCUGGGCUACACACGUGCUACAAUGGGUCGGAUAAAGGGUAGCAAUCUCGCGAGAGGGAGCCAAUCCCAAAAACCGCCUCUCAGUUCGGAUUGUAGGCUGCAACUCGCCUACAUGAAGUCGGAAUCGCUAGUAAUCGCAGGUCAGCAUACUGCGGUGAAUACGUUCCCGGGCCUUGUACACACCGCCCGUCACACCAUGGAAGCUGGUCAUGCCCGAAGUCUGUAUUCUAACC